rnacentral:rRNA from 1 species
GACGAACGCUGGCGGCGUGCCUAAUACAUGCAAGUCGAGCGAGCUUGCCUAGAUGAUUUUAGUGCUUGCACUAAAUGAAACUAGAUACAAGCGAGCGGCGGACGGGUGAGUAACGCGUGGGUAACCUGCCUCAUACAGGGGGAUAACAGUUAGAAAUGACUGCUAAUACCGCAUAAGCGCACAGCAUCGCAUGAUGCAGUGCGAAAAACUCCGGUGGUAUGAGAUGGACCCGCGUCUGAUUAGCUAGUUGGUGAGGUAACGGCUCACCAAGGCGACGAUCAGUAGCCGACCUGAGAGGGUGAUCGGCCACAUUGGGACUGAGACACGGCCCAA